rnacentral:misc_RNA from 1 species
GUUUGGCAAGAGAGAACUAGAAAGAAUAGAAAAGAAAAUGGAAGGAAUCUGAGAGUUAUCUAAAAUAUAUUUGUGUAUUAUUCUUCAAUGCCCCAUUACAACUCAGCAAGUCCUAUUCAUAAUAAAAGUCAGAAACAAACUCAGCUACUUAUUAGAAAAUAAGCUAGAUGACUUCAGGUACUAACCGAUAACAUUUGACUCAAUAUUGACUCUUGUUUAUUACUUCUUUUUCUAAACUCCUUCCUAG